rnacentral:tRNA from 1 species
GGGGCUAUAGCUCAGCAGGGAGAGCGCCUGCUUUGCAAGCAGGAGGUCAGCGGUUCGAUCCCGCUUAGCUCCA